rnacentral:lncRNA from 1 species
AACUUUGCACAAAUGUCAGAAGUGUGGGUAGGCACAAAUUAAGUGGCAGAGUCAAGAGAGGGGAUAGGGUAGUUUUGAUUUUCCUGUCUCAUCAUUAUCCGCUGUCUCUUGCUUCCCUGUUGCAGAUGUGGCACCUUAUAGCAUCCUGGUGCAGCCCUGAAGCUCCUGUCCUUGACCCCCACAUAGUAGGCAUUGACUUGCCAACCAGCUGUACCGAACACGGACGCAGCACCCGCAUCAGGAGAGAGAAAUACAGAUGCAGAAGCAGGACAUGGACAAAUGACAGAAGAUAAGGUAUUGCUCCGGCAAGCAGAACAUCCUGUCUUCAAGAUGGGUAACUACAAUUUUUCGAAAAUAAUUCAGAAGUAGUUGGCAAUGGCGGUGUAAAUGUGCUACAUAGUGUUUAUAAUAUCCUUGGGUUCAGAUUAUGUGGCUUUAUUGACUUUAACACAUAUAUUCAGAUACUCCUAGUAUCCCCUAGAAGUAUUCCCUCAUCUGUUUCUAUCAAUAGGAUUUAUUUAUUUGUGUCACAGUGUUUCUUGCUUGUUAAUUGCUUCAAGUUAUUUUAUGUAAUUAAAGACAGA